rnacentral:rRNA from 1 species
GACGAACGCUGGCGGCGUGCUUAACACAUGCAAGUCGAACGGAAAGGCCCUGCUUUUGUGGGGUGCUCGAGUGGCGAACGGGUGAGUAACACGUGAGUAACCUGCCCUUGACUUUGGGAUAACUUCAGGAAACUGGGGCUCAUACCGGCUAGGAGCUCCUGCUGCAUGGUGGGGGUUGGUAAGUUUCGGCGGUUGGGGAUGGACUCGCGGCUUAUCAGCUUGUUGGUGGGGUAGUGGCUUACCAAGGCUUUGACGGGUAGCCGGCCUGAGAGGGUGACCGGCCACAUUGGGACUGAGAUACGGCACAGACUCCUACGGGAGGCAGCAGUGGGGAAUAUUGCACAAUGGGCGGAAGCCUGAUGCAGCAACGCCGCGUGCGGGAUGACGGCCUUCGGGUUGUAAACCGCUUUCGCCUGUGACGAAGCGUGAGUGACGGUAAUGGGUAAAGAAGCACCGGCUAACUACGUG